GAGUUAUUUUUUCUUAAUUUCUAUGCAAUAUAAGCUAAAUAUGCCAAAAUAUAUAUAUAUUGAUAGAAAUAUCAAAAUAUUGUUUUAAUAUUUUUUCUUAGAACGUCAUGAAUAUAUAGUAAUGCACAAACUAUCUAGACGUUUGGUCUGCAAUGAAAAUUAGGAAGCUAAAGUAACAGUACUCUAAAACUACGGAGUUAUGAAAAUUGUUCAUUUCCUUUUUUAAAAACCUUCCACCAAAAAUUGUGAUUUAUACUACUAGAAUUAAUUAAUAUGUGAUGCAGAAUUUUCCGGUUAGAGGUGACCCAAAAUGAAUACCCAAAACCUAAGGAGCGAACCUCUUUAAGUUGAAGAAAAAUGAGAAAAAUACGAGGGAGGCUAGACUCCACAGCCCCCUCCCCUCCCAUGCGACUUGCCUGAAAUAAAAUACUAAUAAAUAAUUAUAAAUGCAGUUCAACCAUAGAGGAAUGAAAAUUUACUUUAUUUUGACAUGUCCCUAUCUAAUAGCCGAGCAGACGAAUUUUAUGAUUCUUGUAUAGUAUUACUCAUUUAAUAUAACAUUUAAAACAUUGUGUACAUAAUAAAUUAAAAGUACUUCCCUAUAUAUACGGCAUUUCCGUUGUAAAGGAUGACAUUUAAACAAAUGAAAAUGGCCCCGUUUUAAGCAAUGAAUUAUAGAAACUAUACCAUGCUUUUGAUAAAUCUAUUACAAGGGUGAAUAAAUAUGGCACAUCCUGAUUAGUGUUAAGAACUUGGGUUGUUUUUAUUGCAACGAAUGACGCAUUACCGAUGAUUUUUGUACACCCUGUAACAGGGAAUUUUGUUCUGGUUUGUGACCCUGUCGUUCCAAAUAAAAAUGAACAGAAUGGGUGGAUCUUGGUACAAUAGACUAUAAGUACAUGUUUAUGAAGUCAAAAAUUGUACACUGUAUCAAUAUUGAUUGAUUGCAAACAAUGACAAAACUGAAAUGCUAUUAAAAGUGAUUUGAUAU
rnacentral:sRNA from 1 species